GGGCCGUUAGCUCAGUUGGCAGAGCAGCUGACUCUUAAUCAGCGGGUCGAAGGUUCGAGCCCUUCACGGCCCACCA
rnacentral:tRNA from 1 species